rnacentral:ncRNA from 1 species
AUAAAAGCUAUGAUAGAGAAGAGUAGGUACGGUGAAAGUUAUAGCGAACUAGGGAUGGUGGAAGCCUAGGAACAGAAGCUGUAUUGAAGAUCACCUCUUAGCUAUUUCUCUGAAAUUAAUAGUAAGAGAAAUCGGAUGCAGACCGUUAUUCUGUUUAAGUGAGUAUAUCUGUGAGCUUUUGGCUUACUAUGUGCUAAUUAGGGUGGUACCGCGAUGAUAACCUCGUCCCUUUC